rnacentral:rRNA from 1 species
GAUGAACGCUGGCGGCGUGCUUAACACAUGCAAGUCGAACGAAGCACUUUAUUUGAUUUCCUUCGGGACUGAUUAUUUUGUGACUGAGUGGCGGACGGGUGAGUAACGCGUGGGUAACCUGCCUUGUACAGGGGGAUAACAGUUGGAAACGGCUGCUAAUACCGCAUAAGCGCACAGCAUCGCAUGAUGCAGUGUGAAAAACUCCGGUGGUAUAAGAUGGACCCGCGUUGGAUUAGCUAGUUGGUGAGGUAACGGCCCACCAAGGCGACGAUCCAUAGCCGACCUGAUAGGGUGACCGGCCACAUUGGGACUGAGACACGGCCCAAACUCCUACGGGAGGCAGCAGUGGGGAAUAUUGGACAAUGGGCGAAAGCCUGAUGCAGCGACGCCGCGUGAGCGAAGAAGUAUUUCGGUAUGUAAAGCUCUAUCAGCAGGGAAGAUAAUGACGUUACCUGACUAAGAAGCACCGGCUAAAUACGUG